UACGUAGGGUGCGAGCGUUAAUCGGAAUUACUGGGCGUAAAGCGUGCGCAGGCGGUUUUGUAAGCCAGAUGUGAAAUCCCCGGGCUCAACCUGGGAAUGGCAUUUGGGACUGCAAGGCUGGAGUACGGCAGAGGAGACUGGAAUUCCUGGUGUAGCAGUGAAAUGCGUAGAGAUCAGGAGGAAUACCGAUGGCGAAGGCAGGUCUCUGGGCUGAUACUGACACUGAGAAGCGAAAGCGUGGGGAGCGAACAGG
rnacentral:rRNA from 1 species